rnacentral:rRNA from 1 species
GUACACUCCUGCGGGAGGCAGCAGUGGGGAAUAUUGGACAAUGGGCGCAAGCCUGAUCCAGCCAUGCCGCGUGAGUGAUGAAGGCCCUAGGGUUGUAAAGCUCUUUCACCGGUGAAGAUAAUGACGGUAACCGGAGAAGAAGCCCCGGCUAACUUCGUGCCAGCAGCCGCGGUAAUACGAAGGGGGCUAGCGUUGUUCGGAUUUACUGGGCGUAAAGCGCACGUAGGCGGACUAUUAAGUCAGGGGUGAAAUCCCGGGGCUCAACCCCGGAACUGCCUUUGAUACUGGUAGUCUUGAGUUCGAGAGAGGUGAGUGGAAUUCCGAGUGUAGAGGUGAAAUUCGUAGAUAUUCGGAGGAACACCAGUGGCGAAGGCGGCUCACUGGCUCGAUACUGACGCUGAGGUGCGAAAGCGUGGGGAGCAAACAGGAUUAGAAACCCGGGUAGUCC